rnacentral:sRNA from 1 species
GGGACACAGUGAGAAACCACUGUGUGAAGUGUUUGGGGCUAAGAUGGCAGUGUGGUGGCAGGACACACAAGCAGGGGCAACAAAGCCGGAGUCCUGGGAGAGGCUUCGGGAAAGAAACCAUGGAGCAGAGUCCAGAGGGUGAAUCGCAGUUGGUCAGGUGGGCUCAGAAGUGCUUAGAGGAAGAAAGGAGGGGAAGCCUCCCUGCUUUGUGAUUGGCCUGGUGCUUUUGAUCAUCGGCAGUUUGUCUGGAAUGACAGGCAUGGAAUGGACAAAGUGGAGAAGAGCCUGGCUGUGAAGCAGCCUGUUCACCAUGGGAAAGAGCUUUGGGUCCCAUCCUGAAGGUCAUGGAGCCACAGCAGGAUCUGCAGAGGGAGGUGCUGGGAUCCUCCCUCCUCAGGGAUGUGCAGAUUUUCAUAUUGUAUCUUUCUGGAUACCACAGGGAAAAGGGCAUAUUUGGGGGAGAGAGUCCAAAUGAAACCUUUUACAACCUCAGACAGAAGUAGGGUGGUGGCCUGAACUAGGAGAAGCAGCACUGGGAAUGGAGAGAAUGGGAGAGAUGUGAGAAAUCACACAGAGAAGACUCCUCCAGAACUCUCAGUCCAUUGAACUAGGAUGGAGGCGAUUUUCUGGGCUGGGCAUCUUGGUGAAAGAUGCAGGUGGUCCUAGGCCCUGAGGACCACAAGAGGGAAGGAGCACUGUGGGUGCAGCCGGGCAAGGGAGGUGGGGCUGUGAGAGCAGGGAGGGGAUGAGUUUGCUUGUGUGCAUCCUGAUCUUGAGAUACCUGCAGAAUAUCCAAAUGCAAAAGUCCAGCCGUAGAUGCACAGGCGUGAAGUGCAGAAGCCAGAAAUGCUGAUUGGGUAGUUAUUCACAUGUAAAUGGCAAUGGUCCUGGAGUGAACGGAGGGGCUCACACAGGAAGAGUGUGUGAAGGAAAACAAGAAAGACCACCACCCAAGCCACACAUGCAGUGAAGGGAUGGACAGAGAAACAGGAACUCUGUAAGGAAGGUGAAUAAAAAUAGAAUAAAGAGUUGGAGGCUGAUUUGUGGCACUUGGAAAUGUAUCUCAUAUGUUCUCUCAAAGGACAUCUGGGGAAUUUCUGUUUGGUUCUGGUGGUUCACAUCAGAUUCCCAAGGGAUGACGCUGUUCUAAAAAGAAAAUGAUUUCUCUCAUUUCUAUUUUGUCUUUACAGUAAGGCCUAUUAGUCAGGCAUAUGGCAUCUGAAGCAGAGCUGUCCAAAACCAGCCACUGGCCAAUUUGGACUGUUGAGCUCUGAGAUGGGACUAUGCAAAUUGAGAUGGGUUGUGCGUGGAAAACACGCUUACAUGAAUUUCAAAGACUUAGUACAAAGAAAGAAAAUAAAAUAUUAAUAAUUAUAUUGAUUACAUGUUAUAAUCUCUAUCUAAUAUAGUGUUAAAAUUAAUUUUAUAUGUUUCUUUUUACAUUUCUAAUGUGGCUAUGAAACCUUUAAGAUUACAUAUAUAGUUCACAUAGAAAUAUAUGGGACAGCGCUGCUCUGGAGUCUGACUGGGCUGAAAUCUCAGUUCUGCCAUGUACUUUCUGUUUAAACUUGGAUAAGGAACCUAAUUUCUCUGUGCCUCAGUUUUCUCAUCUAUAAAAUGGGAAUAACAUUCCCAGGUACCCUAUAGGGUUUCUGUGUGGUAAAUUUGUGCUCAGACCAGAGCCUGGCUCAUAAAAACAUCUCAGUCACUGUGAGUUCUUUUUUUUUUUUUUUUUUUUUUUUGAGACGAAGUCUAGCUCUGUUGCCCAGGCUGGAGUGCAGUGGCACGAUCUCGGCUCACUGCAACCUCCGCCUCCCGGGUUCAAGCAAUCCUCCUGCCUCAGCCUCCCAUGUAGCUGGCAUUGCAGGCACCUGCCACCACACCUGGCUAAUUUUUGUAUUUUUAGUAGAGAUGGGGUUCCACCAUAUUGGCCAGGCUGGUCUCAAACUCCUGACCUCAGGUGAUCCACCCGCCUUGGCCUCCCAAAGUGCUGGGAUUACAGGCAUGAGCUGCCGCGCCCCGCCCACUCUGAGUUCUUAUGAUUCAUUUCCGGAAAACUUUGGUGAGCCUGCACGCUCCUCUGUGCGCUCAGGAGCUAUGAGUCUAGAAUAACUGCCUUCCUUUUUUUCCCUUAGGAAAGUUAUUUUCCUGCACAAGGGAUUGAAGUUUUCCAGAACUUAGCUGUCAACUUAGACUGUGCUUUUUUUGCAGAUGUAAUGAUCCCUGAAAGCCCUGAGGCCUAUGUAAAACUCACAGAAAAUGCAAUCAAAAAUACCUCCGGUAGGCACGACAAGCCGGAGCCAGCCUCCCUCCCUCCUCUGUAUAGCAAUCCUCCUCUUUUGGCACAUCUGCUGUAUCUCUCCCAGCUUUGUGGCUCUAGCAUGUUAAGGCACAGCCUUCCUCUCUUACUGCUGUACUAGAAAAAACAGCUGGUUAAAUCCACACCAAGAAUAAGAUUUCACUAGUGGAGUGAAACAAAAUAACUUCUCAACUUGUUAAAUGGUAAUUGGUCUCAUUAAGUAUAGACCUCUCAUGCCCAUUAACUGCAGAAAACAUGAGAAGGAAAACCCAGUCAUCAGCCUCUGUGCCCUAGUGUUCUACGUGGUGUGGUAAUUUCGGCUUCACUGCGCACAUAGCUACCUGUGGCUGGAGAGUCAGGGCGCAGGCUCUGGUCCCAAGUCCGCCAACCUGCAUGAGUGACCUUUGGCACAUCCACCACUUUAUCCUCCUCAUCUCAGGAAUCCCAUAUGAGACAAGGGGUGAGAUCAGAUUUCAGCUCUAAAAAAUGUGUGUAAUUUUAAUUUAAGAGGUCGUAUAAGACAAUUUGAAAUGAAAAAUGUAUUCCACGGUAUGUUGAGCCAUAGAUAAAGACAGAACUAUUCCUGAAACAAGAAGAAUUAAAGAAAGAAAAACGGAACUAGUUUUGCUUAGUGUUGUAUUAGACAAACUGUAGUUCAGGAGUUCAGGAUCAGUGAUGUGGGAUGUGGGGGGGAAUAGAGUUUGAACGCAGUGAUUUGAUAUUGAAUCAUGGAGUUACUAGUUUGUGCUUCAGUUUUUGAAGAAAAUCAAAAGGACAGAAAGCAAAGUAACAUUACUGAGAGGGUGAUUCCCAGGGAGAGACCUCUCCUAGGUGUAUUUAGAAGGCCUUUUUUAGAAACAAAUAAAAACAUUUAAUAAAGCUUACUAAUAUUUGUUCUGCUUUCACCCCAUGCUAGCUUCACUCUGAUGAUCAAAUGUUCUUGUGUAGUUCAAAGACUUUGACACACACACACACACACACACACUCAGUAAUUUUACAAAGAAAUGUUACAACUUUGAGAGGAGAAUGAGCCAGAAUUCUAGGCUAUGAGUAAGAACCUGCCUAGAUGGAAAUGUUAAAAUCAUAGCUUUCUCCUGGUUUUGUUUUAGAUCUUAGAUAAAAGCAAGUCGUUGCUAGUUUGAUAUCUCUGUAUAUAUCUAUUCUGAGGCACUCUUUUCUUGAUUAAUGAAUUUAUGCCUUCAGUAAAUGAUGCAGCAACCUGAGCCUUCCGUGACACUAUCUUCCCCUGAGGUGCAUGAAGAAAAAUCAGAGGGAGGAUCUUCCCCUGCUCACUAAGCGACAGCAGAAAGAACAUGAGAAAAAAAAACAGCCUUCUGCUUACUGAGAUGCAGUAGACACCAUUGCAGAUUUUUAGAAAGGCCUUCCACACUGACAACAUUCAGAUGAUCAGGGGUUCAGCUGGAAGAGGGUCAGGUGCACGAAGCUGUUCAAAAUGGACUGGAGAGCCGUUUUGCGACGUCCAAUCUGCUAGGGCUCUCAGUCAAGCGCCUUCAUUGGUUUGGCCAUUUUAAUGUCUAACCCACCGGCACGAUGGUACUAAAUUUGCUUUGUAAUUACCCACACCUGCCAUUUCUAUGCUGCUGUAACUGAAAUCAUUUCUGAAACUUCUCCUUGAAUAUCAAGCUUUAAAUAAGUCAAAUAGUUUGUCCAGUAAAGAUUCUUAUGGUUGCCACCGCAGGGGACCACAGUGCCCUAGAGUCACAGAUCCGACAACUGGGCAAAGCCCUGGAUGAUAGCCGCUUUCAGAUACAGCAAACUGAAAAUAUCAUUCGCAGCAAAACUCCCACGGGGCCGGAGCUAGACACCAGCUACAAAGGCUACAUGAAACUGCUGGGCGAAUGCAGUGGCAGUAUAGACUCCGUGAAGAGACUGGAGCACAAACUGAAGGAGGAAGAGGGGAGCCUUCCCGGCUUUGUUAACCUGCAUAGUACUGAAACCCAAACGGCUGGUGUGAUUGACCGAUGGGAGCUUCUCCAGGCCCAGGCAUUGAGCAAGGAGUUGAGGAUGAAGCAGAACCUCCAGAAGUGGCAGCAGUUUAACUCAGACUUGAACAGCAUCUGGGCCUGGCUGGGGGACACGGAGGAGGAGCUGGAACAGCUCCAGCGUCUGGAACUCAGCACUGACAUCCAGACCAUCGAGCUCCAGAUCAAAAAGCUCAAGGAGCUCCAGAAAGCUGUGGACCACCGCAAAGCCAUCAUCCUCUCCAUCAAUCUCUGCAGCCCCGAGUUCACCCAGGCUGACAGCAAGGAGAGCCGGGACCUGCAGGAUCGCUUGUCGCAGAUGAAUGGGCGCUGGGACCGAGUGUGCUCUCUGCUGGAGGAGUGGCGGGGCCUGCUGCAGGAUGCCCUGAUGCAGUGCCAGGAUUUCCAUGAAAUGAGCCAUGGUUUGCUUCUUAUGCUGGAGAACAUUGACAGAAGGAAAAAUGAAAUUGUCCCUAUUGAUUCUAACCUUGAUGCAGAGAUACUUCAGGACCAUCACAAACAGCUUAUGGUAAGAUGUGUGAACUCUGGCAGCCUCCAGUUAUUUUUAGCAGGGUUGCAUUUCAUUUACAGAAAAUGAAUGUAAGUGGUAAGUGUUGUUUUUCUUUUUUAACUUUUUGUGUUAUAGUCUCUAUUUUACACUUUUUUAACUCCCUGUGGUUUCCAAUCUUUGUAAAGCAAACACGUGCAUAGAAGAUAUCUGCCAGCUUUAGAAUCUGAUUCUGAAGUUGUUGCUCAAUUGUAAAAAUCUUAGUGUUCUCAAUCAGUCUUAAUUAGCUUGUGUUGUUUAUUAAGGCAGCUUAAUUUAAACUUUAUGUUACAUCUAUGACCCAAAAGCAUAUUUGGUGGCUUGUAAUAAAAGGUCAUUAAAAUAUUAGAAUAGAACGAGACAACUAACUCUUUUGUUUGUUUGUUUUUGUUGUCGUUGCUUUUUGAGACGGUCUUGCUCUGUUGCCCAGGGUGGAGUGCAGUGGUGCGAUCUCGGCUCACUGCAAUCUCUGCCUCCGGGAUUGGAGCAAUUCUCCUGCCGAUUCUCCUGCCUCACCCUCCUGAGUAGGUGGGACUACAGGUGUGUAGUAUUGCUAAUGUUUGUAUUUUUAGUAGAGACAGGGUUUCACCAUGUUGGCCAGGCUGGUCUCAAACUCCUGGCCGCAGGUGAUCCACCUGCCUCAGCCUCCCAAAGUGCUGGGAUUACAGGCAUGAGCCACAGCACCCAGCCAAGUCUUUUAAAGAGGAAUUAAAUACAUCAGAUUAAACAUGAACGUUAGCAUCAAGUUUUCUGAAAGCUAAGACAAAAUGGGAAACAAGGGAACUUACUUUCAUUAUCUGGCAAAAACAAAACAUACCACUUCUCAAGGAAGGAGAAACUUUUUCUAGCACUAAAUUCAAGAGGAAAUUAACUGGUAGACUCUUAUACAAGGAUCUUUGGACAAUAUAAUGUACAGUGCAUUUAAGUGACUUUAUAGAAGAUAAGGAAGCAUAUUUGAGUUCCAUUAGAAGAAAAUAUUAUGCACUUUGUAGCUCUCUGUAUUUUUAAAAUGUUAUGUCUUAACAUUUAACACUCACCUAAACUACAGAAUUGGUACCUUUUAAUUCAGUACCAUAAUAGUCUUAGAAACCUAGAGGAAAUAGCUGUGGAACUGCAUUUUUACUUCACUUUGACCUCUGGCAUCAAGCUGUGAAUGAAGAAUCACCCCUUUUUUUUAAAUCUUGACUAGAUAUCAGAGGAUACCUAGACAUACUUCUGCUUUGCUAUAUUCAAUGUUGUGCUUUUCUGUUUAAAAGACUGUCUUACAUCUCACUUGCAUACUAAUCUAUAUUUUAAGUACUGUCAUAUAUACAUUAACUAAUUUGAACCUUCCAGUAAUACUGUGGACCAGGCAUCAAAUCAAACUGAGAUCAGAGAGGGUCAGGGGUCUUAUAGAAUAUUUUUGGCAGAGACAGGAUUAGAACUCAGGCUGUGAGCUGCUGCCUCCUUUAGUGUGUGAGCUCUACGUUUGAUGCUCAGGUAUAAUUUCCCACCAAGUUAAGUUGAUUUCAUUCUGCACUUUUGGAGCUUUUGCCAAUUAUCAAAAAUGCUUAGAAAAAUUAAUUUAUUUUUGUAUGCAUAGCAAAUAAGGCAUGAGCUGUUGGAAUCCCAACUCAGAGUAGCCUCUUUGCAAGACAUGUCUUGCCAACUACUGGUGAAUGCUGAAGGAACAGACUGUUUAGAAGCCAAAGAAAAAGUCCAUGUUAUUGGAAAUCGGCUCAGACUUCUCUUGAAGGAGGUCAGUCGUCAUAUCAAGGAACUGGAGAAGUUAUUAGACGUGUCAAGUAGUCAGCAGGAUUUGUCUUCCUGGUCUUCUGCUGAUGAACUGGACACCUCAGGGUCUGUGAGUCCCACAUCAGGAAGGAGCACCCCAAACAGACAGAAAACGCCACGAGGCAAGUGUAGUCUCUCACAGCCUGGACCCUCUGUCAGCAGUCCACAUAGCAGGUCCACAAAAGGUGGCUCCGAUUCCUCCCUUUCUGAGCCUGGGCCAGGUCGGUCCGGCCGCGCCUUCCUGUUCAGAGUCCUCCGAACAGCUCUUCCCCUUCAGCUUCUCCUGCUCCUCCUCAUUGGGCUCGCCUGCCUUGUACCAAUGUCAGAGGAAGACUACAGCUGUGCCCUCUCCAACAACUUUGCCCGGUCAUUCCACCCCAUGCUCAGAUACACGAAUGGCCCUCCUCCACUCUGAACUAAGCAGAUGCCAUCUGCAGAAGUGCUGGUAGCAUAAGGAGGAUCGGGUCAUAAGCAAUCCCAAACUACCAACAAGAGGACCUUGAUCUUGGUGAAAGCCCUCCGUGUGGCAGCUUGAGCCCUCCUCCAGAUCACAUGUGUGCAAAUCAUGGCUUCAGAGGUGGAAGAUAAACAGUGACAGGGGAACAAAGAGACAACAAGAAGGUUUGGAAGAAAUCUGGUUUGAGACUCUGAACCUUAGCACUAAGGAGAUGAGUAAGGACCUCCAAAGUUCCCUGAGCUCAUGAAUUCUGGGCCCUUGGCCCAUUCUAUGCAUAGCCAAGGACUUCAGUAGACCAUCUGGGCAGCUUUCCCAUGGUGCUGCUCCAACCAUCAGAUAAAUGUCCCUCCCAAGCACCAUGUCAGUGUCGUACAAUCUACCAACCAACUAGUGCUGAAGAGAUUUUAGAACCUUGUAACAUACAAUUUUUAAGAGCUUAUAUGGCAGCUUCCUUUUUACCUUGUUUUCCUUUGGGGCAUGAUGUUUUAACCUUUGCUUUAGAAGCACAAGCUGUAAAUCUAAAAGGCACUUUUUUUAGAGGUAUAAAGAAAAACUAGAUGUAAUAAAUAAGAUCAUGGAAGGCUUUAUGUGAAAAAAGUUCAAUGUUAUAGUAAAAAAAAGAUAUUUAUGUAUGUACAGUUUGCUAAAGCCAAGUUUUGUUUGUAUUGAUUUCUUUGCAUUUAUUAUAGAUAUUAUAAAAUA